rnacentral:lncRNA from 1 species
CAACGCUGUCUGACUGACGGUUAGGGAACAACCGAAGACCGAACGAAGCUUCUUUGGGAAGUGUAAUCGUUUGAAAGAUUCAUUGUAGACCCAAUCUUCAAAUUCCUAACAUGUUGAAAUCUUACAUGCCAAGUAAUGGACAAGUGCAGCGGGUUGGAGGAAUAAGGGUUGUGGUGCCUUGAAGAUGACGUAUUUGGAAGGUUGAUUCCUGACCUCACUUGGCUUUGCACUGGCUGGUUGUAUCUUCCAGGAUUCACUGCUUUAAUGUUAUUGAGGAAUUAAGAGAAGAUUCCAUGGCAAGACAUUUCGUGGAGGGUGGAUGUCGACUUUUACUGCUGUGGAGGAGGCAGUGGGCGUGAAUUACACCAGAUGAGAUCCAAUUAUUAAGGUGUUGGCGAUUCUUAAGACCCACUCGAGUCCCUGAUAAUUUAGGUUGUUUUGUUUAAUAACCGCAGUCGGUUGUUGAGCUAAUGUCCCAGGAACAAUGGAGUUUCAUUUUCUUUCGUUUCUAGAAGUUUGCUGCUGGUGAUUUCAUGAUCUACGUAGUAGGUGAUGUGGUAUUGCUUCUUGGUCAACGUCAUCGGAAUUGGACGAGUUCAUGUCAUACAAGAUGGACUGGUUUAUCGUUCGGUGUUUUUUUUUCUGACGCAAUCUUCAUAGGCUAUCAGUGUUUUAGGUUGCUCUGGCGUUAGUGUUGGAAUACUUAUGCCGGUGGAGUUAUUGGAUAUGUUGCGUUGUUGGUUAAAUUUUUCUUAUUACGACAUUCUUAGGACAAUUUAAUAUGUACCCGUGAUCGAUGUUUGUCUUAAGUUUUUGUGUGAGAGAGUAUUUUAUUUAAUGAUUUGGUUUAUCUAGGUUACGGUUCUACGGUCUAUUGGAUUGAUUUCUUUUAUUGACGUUUUCGUGAUAGAUGCCUGUUACCAAGGACUCUGUGGCAAUGCGAUGCAUCAGUCUGCUACCACAAUCUGUGGAGAUAGUGACAUGGUGUUAUCCUGAAAUGGAGAACCGAGACCUGAAGUGGAUCGUAAGAAGACUUCUUGAAAUGUCUGUUCAAGGUAUCGUCGGAAAGGAGUCUGUGAUUCCUGUGUUAUCCUGGGGUAUGUUGGCGUUCUGACUAUGCUUGUUGCUGCUUGUUUGUGAUUAGUGUAUUGUAUGAGCAGUCCAUAAUGUCGAUAAGUGCAUAUCUCCGCUCUUUUCUUUUCAUUGGCCCCGUUUCCCCAACUAACUAACGCCAUCCGGUGAUCACUCACCCGCUGUGACAACCAGCAGAAGAGGGCUCUGGUCGAACGGACGGGUCGAACUGGAUGCUUUGAGGGUUAUGAAUCCAACCCGGAAACCUAUUAUGACUACAUCUUCUCAGCAAAACUGUCCUUGCAUUUCUUUUUCCGUCCUGUGCAUGGUCAGUAAAGGACGAGUCUCCUGUCCUCCUGUCUUCGUUGACUGAAUUUGCAAGUUUUAGCAAGCAAUUUGCUAAUACAGAGCGACUACAAUUAUACAUUUCAGAUAAUAUCCAGAUAAAUAUUGUAUUUUUUAAGUUUAUUUUGCUAUGAAUACAUUAUUAAUUUCCCCAUA